rnacentral:lncRNA from 1 species
GGUUCAUCUCAAACCUCGUGCCUUACGGUGGAAACCUGUUCAGGCACCAAAACAAAUAAAUGAACGAAAUUUUCUACCCCAAUUUUCACUAGGAAAAUUUUGUGAGUUAGUUGUAAUAAAAAUCUAAACUAUUUCUUUAUUGAAAGCAAUAAAAUCAGGAUUAUGCAUCCUUCGGAAAAAGUGAUUAGGGAGUGGAGCCCAAUAUCUAUAAUGAAAUCAACUAGGGAAUGGAGACCCUGUGUUGGAAAAAUGACUAGGGAGUGGAGACCCUAUGCCUAAAAUUAACAUCAAAUAGGGAGUGGAGACCCUAUGUCAGAAAGGUGACUAGGGAGUGGAUAUCCUAUGUUGGAAAAGCAGGCUAGGGAGUGGGGACCAUAUGCCUAAAAUAAAUCAACUCGGGAGUGGAGACCCUAUGUUGAAAAAUAAGACUAGGGAGUGGAGACUCUAUGCCUAAAAUAAAUUCAACUAAGGAAUGGAGACCCUAUGGUGAAAAAGCGACUAGAGAGUGGAGAACCUAUGUCUAAAAUAAAUCCAACUAGGAAGUGGAGAACCUAUGUCUAAAAUAAAUCCAACUAGGAAGUGGAGACCCUAUGUCGGAAAAGCGACUAGGGAGUGGAGACUCUAUGUUGGAAAAUCAUACUAGGGAAUAGAGACCCUAUUCCUAAAAUAAAUUCAACUAGGGAGUGUAGACCCUAUGUUGGAAAAGUGAAUAGGGAGUGGAGACCAUAUGUCUAAAAUAACUUCAACUAGGGAAUGGAGACCCUAUGUUAGAAAAGCAUACUAUGGAGUGGAGACCCUAUUCCUAAAACAAAUUCAACUAGGGAGUAGAGACCAUAUGCCUAAAAUAAAAUCAACUAGAGAGUGGAGACCCUAUGUUGGACAAGCAGACUAGAGAGUGGAAACUUUAUGUCUAAAAUAAAAUCAACUAGGGAGUGGAGACCAUAUGUUGGAAAAAACAUAACUAGAGAUUAGGGACCCUAGGCUACCAUGUUUUUGAAUUUUCUUCUAUUUUUUAUUUUUUUUAAAUUUUAUUUAAGAAAAUUGAGUAGGAAUACAGGAAAGAAGUUGGAAGAGACUUCCUUUUUGGAUUGGUUAUUGCUGCAAAAUUGUUUCUAGCCCUUGUGCAGUUUCUUUUGGUUGCACCUGCUUCUUGCAAGGUUGCGUUGGAUUGCACCUGUUUCAUGUUUUCAAACAAAGAAAAAUUAUUAGUUUGAAACGGUGGUUGGUUUUGUGGCCUUGAUUGUAUUGAUUUUGUCCCAACUCUUUUGAUGAAAACCUCUAUUGCUCGCUGGAUUUCUAGAGAUUAAUCUUGACUUUCCAAUAUUUCAUAUGAUGUUUCACUCUUGUGGGGCUUUGGCCAUUUCAUCUCAUUUCUCCUUCGUGGACACUUGAUUUUGGAUUUCUUUCUUUUUCAAUAAUUUUGACACUAAAGCAUCGACCAUCAUGGCCAGUCGAGAUCGAUUUGAUAUACCUGUUGAGGCUGGGUGCUUUCGUUUGAAUUUAGCUUUUGUUAAUCAGAACCCCGCAAACCAAUCUUGCCAUAUUUUCUUUGUAUUAGUUUCAGAGGAGGAUUAAACCGCAAGGUAUUCAAACAAAAGUAAACAAAGGACAAGAUAAUGAAUUUAACAAGAAGUGUCCCUUUUGGGGAAGAAGAAAGAAAGACUUAUCUGGAGUGCAUGCAGACUUCAAUAGAUACGACAUGCUUCUUGGAAUGGAUACCCGAUCUGCAACCAUCCAAUAUCUCAUAAACCCACCAUAACUCGUGUUUUAAAAUCAAGAAACCUCGUCAGGACUUUAUCAGUGCCGAUGGUUGUAAGGGAUUCCUUCUUUUCGAUCAAUGGCGCCCUUUGCGGGUUUUCGCGAAUUGACCUCUCUCAUUUAUCUUCUUAUCAUUGUCUUAUAGUGCUCUUUGCGAGUUUUCACUAACAAGACUCUCUCAUUUUCAGUUUCUCUACUCAUAGUCGCCUUACAAUGCUCGUGUGGAUUUUUUCACCAACAAGACUCUCUUAUUUUAUUUCUCUCAUUUUGAUCACAUCCGAUCCAAGUAGAUGCAUUCUCCAAUCCUUGAAAAUUAUCACCAAUUGAUCAGAAGGACUUUAACAAGGUUUAGGGUAAAAGGAAUUUGUAUUGAAUUACAACUUUGGAACCUUUCAGGCGACUCUAGCCGAACAAUUAUAAAUUAUAUCCCAGUUUCAACUUUUGGGGAAAUGUGUAUUUUUAUUUUGGUAUGACUGAACCCUAGAGAGAAGCUGCCUACGUAUCCUUUUGGAAUCAAGUCGAGCAGUUCAUGGAUACGUUGUUUUUUAUUUUAAUUGAUUUUUUAAUAAACAUUUUUGGGUUCCACGGGGGGUAAUCAAAGAAAAGUAACUGACUCAAAGGGUUAGCAAAAUGUUGAAGUAUUUGGGGUAGCGAGAAAAAGCCUUCGUCAUCCCAAUUGGUCAAUAUUGGUAUCUCAGAAGGAUUAAACAUAAUACCUUUUGAGCGCAUCUGCAUUGACAACUUCUUCAGGAAUUUCCUUCAAUGUCUCCCAAGUAUAAUUCCCCUUUCGGCAACAAUUUUCUUAUGAAGUAUGAGCCCUUCCAGUUAGGAGUGAACUUUCCUUUUGCUUCUUGGUGAUGCGGUAGAAUACGUCUCAAAUCUAGUUAUUCCACUUCAAAGUUUCUGGGCCACACUUUUUUGUUGUACGCACGGGCCAUUCUUUGUUGAUACAACUGCCUAUGGCAAACUGCGGCAAUCGAUUUUUCAUAAAUCAGGGUUAGUUAUUCUAGACGGGUCUUGACCUAUUCACUGUUCUCAUUCUCAGACUUUGAUGAUGAUUCGGAGAGAAGGAAUUUCAACUUCUGCGGGUAUUACGGCUUCAGUGCCAUAAACCAAUAGAUAGGAAAUUUCUCCAACUUAUGUGCGCACAGUUGUGUGAUAUCCCAACAAUGCAAACGACAACUUUUCAUGCCAUUGUCUAGAAGUUUGGAUCAUCGUCCUAAGAAUCUUCUUGAUGUUCUUGUUUGUUGCUUCGACGACACCAUUAGCUUUGGGCCGAUAAGGGGUAGAAUUUUGAUGCAUGAUCUUGAAUUGUUCGCACACCUACCUUAUUAAAUGACUAUUCAUAUUUUCAGCAUUGUUUGUAGUGAUAGUUGUAGAAAUACCAAAACGACAGAUGAUGUCGAAGUGAAAAAAGUCUACCACUGCUUUCUUAGUGUUGGCUUUGAGGGUGAUUGCUUCAACCCAUUUUGUGAAGUAGUCAAUGGAAACCAAUAUGAAGCUAUUCCCAUUUGAAGCUUUUAGAUCGAUUGGCCCAAUGACAUCCAUGCACCAAGCAACGAACGACCACGGUGCUAACAUAGGAUGCAGUUCUGAAGGUGGUGGAUGAAUCAGGUCACUGUGUACCUGACACUGAUGAUACUUUCAGAAAAAACUGAAGCAAUCCUUUUCCAUAACCAUCUAAUAUUAACCUAGUCACAUGAUUUUCUUUGCAAGGACGUAUCCAUUCAUAUGAGGUCCGCACACUCUUGCGUGUACUUCAUUCAUGAUUCUUCUGGACUCUUGGGCAUCCACAUAUCUUAAAAGGUUCAAAUCUAGAGUCCUUUUGUACAAGAACUCUCCGCUCAAGAAGAAGCCAAUGGCAAGCCUUGUAAUGGUUCUCUUUUGAUCUCUACUAGCUUGCUCGGGAUAUUCUUUUGUUUUCAAGAAUCUUUUGAUAUCAUGAUACCAUGGCUGAACAUCAGGCUCUAUCUCUACUGUGUUGUAAUAACCAUGCCUUUCUUGAAUUUGGACUUCCAAUGGGUCAAUGUGGACAUUUCCUAGAUAUGGCAAGAUUGAGGCCAAAAUAGCUAGUGCGUCAUCUAACUCAUUGUGAAACCGCGGAAUGUACCUGAACUCGACGGACUUGAAAUUCUUGCUAAGAUCUUCCACAUGUUGCCUGUAUGGAAUAAGCUUGACAUCCCGAGUUUCCCAUUCACCCUGAGCUUGUUGGAUAAUCAAGUCUGAAUUUCCCAUGAUUAAUUAUUCUUCCACAUCGUGGUAAACCGCAAUGUUCAUGCCCAUGAUGCAGGCUUCAUAAUGUUGUUUUUGUUGGAAAAUCGAAGUCACGUUGUGCCAGGAUAGUGCUAAAUUUCCCCAAUCCCGACACAUUUUGCAUUCAAAGCUCCAUCGAAGAACACUUUUCAAGCAUUGGUGUCUUCCGAAAUUACCUCGACUGAAUUUAAUUCCUCGUCCGGAAAUUAAGUACUCAGAGGCUGAUAUUCAUUAUAAAUAUGAUUUACAGCUGGGUGAUCUACUAAAUCUUGGACUUUUAUUGACGUGUGGGUGAAAUAGACUAUGACAAACUCGAUGAGCACGAUUUGCCAUUUUGCUAAUCUCCCCAUGGGCAUCAGCUUUUAGAAUAUGUAUUUCAAAGGAUCCUUCCUGAUGAUGAGAUAAGUUGUGUAGGCCAACCAGUAAUGCCUUAGCUUCUGAGCGGCCCAAGUCCUUUCCAACAAAGCGUAUUUGGCUUCAUAACAGGUGAACUUCUUGCUCAGAUAGUAUACUGCCUGUUCUUUCUUCCCGAUCGCAUCAUGUUGCCCGAGAACGCAUCCAAAGGAAUACUCCUACACUGUCAAAUACAAAAAUAAAACCUUCCAGUUUUGGGUGGGACCAAGACUAGUAGAUUCGACAGAUAUUCUUUGAUUUUGUCGAAAGCUUCCUGACAUCCAUCCGUCCAUCUAAUCGCCACAUCUUUCUUCAAAAGCUUAAGUAUGGGUUCACAUGUGGAAGUUAACUGAGCAAUGAACCGGUUGAUAUAAUUCAGCCUUCCCAAAAGACUCAUAACCUCUUUCUUGGUUCUCGGAGGAUGAAAAUCCUAAAUAAACUUUAUCUUUUUUGGAUAAAUCCUAAGAGUUUCCUAGACGCAACUCCAAAUGCACAUUUAGCUGGAUUUAAAUUCAAGUCAUACUUACGCAGACGCUUAAAGAACUUUCUCAAAUCUCGAACAUGGUCGUCCUGCGUUCUAGAUUUAAUGAUCACAUCAUCCAUAUAAACCUUGAUUUCUUGAUGCAUCAUGUCAUAAAAAAUGGCAGUCAUAGCCCUCAUAUAAGUUGUCCCGACGUUCUUCAAACUAAAAGGCAUGGCCCUGUAACAAUAUGUGCCCCAGGGUGUGGUAAAGGUUGUCUUUUUUGCAUCUUCUUCAUCCAUCAAGACUUGAUUAAAUCCAACAUAAAAAUCAACAAAAAACUGUAUCUCAUAUUUAGCACACUUGUCAACAAGGAUGUGGAUGAUUAGCAAAGGGAAGUUUUCUUUGGGACUUGCUUUGUUCAAAUCCCGAUAGUCAACACACACUAGGGUUUGUCCGUCUCUCUUUGGCACUGGGACCACAUUAGCCAACCAUGUGGUGUAACGAACCACUCGGAUCACACACACUUUUAGCUGUUUGGUGACCUCUUCUUCGAUUUUGGCAUUGAUGUCAGUUUUAAACUUUCUCUGCUUUUGUUAGACUGGAGGAUAUUGGGGUAAGUUUGCAAUUUGUGUACCACUAAAUCAACACCCAAUCCUGGCAUAUCAUCAUAAUACUAGGCAAACACGUCUUUGAAUUCGAACAAAAGUUGGAUCAAUGCAUCCCUAGUUCUUUCAUCAGUGUGAAUGCUUAUCAUGGUUUCCCGGGCCUCUUCUGAACUACCCAAAUUAACUAGCUUAGUUUCAUUUAAGUUUUGUCUUAGGCUUAUUCUCGGAUUGUACUAAUUCUCAGUUUAUUCCCCUCAAAGCCUCAUCUUCAUCGUAUUCCAGUUCUUGACUCAUUAUUUCACAAUUGGACAGCGUGCUAGGAUCUGGGCAUGAAGUCCACAAACAUGUCAUGUUAUUUAAGUCUGCAUUAUUAGAACUGAAAAUAAGAAAUAAGAAAAGUAACAAAAUCAAAAAGAAUAAAGAAAGAGAUUCAUAGACGAUGAUAUGUUGAUUUCAUUUCAUUGAACUUGAAGAUAUAAGGGUUUAUAUUGGAUUUCUAAAGACAAUAAACCAAAAGAAACAUUCGAGUUACACCAUGGAAUAAUUCAUAAUGCAGAAAAAGUGGCAAGACUGGAUUACCGAGAUUCCCGCCUGACUGGGAAUGGAGUAGUUUUCCAAUUUUGCAGCUUGGCAUCGAGCCCCAUAAAUUUCAACUCAGCAGUGCUCGAACCUUCACCCGGCUGGACCAUAUGAGCUUCAUACAUUUGCCUCAUGGCUCCGCAUAUGUCCUCAAUUUCCUCGGCCGUGAAGGCCUUACUUUCUUCUUCUUCAGUGUACUUCGGCUUGACAAAUGUCUUGGAGAGAUCCGGGAUCGACCGAGGAAACACCCAACCAUUGCUCUUUCAUUCAUUUACCUAUGUCACAUCAACUUCUGUAGCGUGAAAUCCCACACCGAAAAACUUCUUGCUGGCAGCUAAAGUGAUUGGCUCUGUGAUACCUUGCAAAGAUACACUAAGCCCUUCUCGGUCUUAUACCCGUGUUUGAUCAUUUCAAUAGAGACCAUGAUUGAUGCAUUUGACAAAAACAUUUGAGGACAUGGGCUCCCUUCCUCAUAUUGAUUUGCGACUACAACCUCAAAAUCUUGAUAGAUUAUGUGCUUGCUACCUUCCCUAGUCUCGAGAUACGCGAUUUACAAGUCCUGUUAAUUGAUUGCUUUUCCUCUCCAUGAACCACAAUUUCCUGAUCUUCCUGUUCAAAGUUUACCAUUUGGUGAAGAGUAGAAGGUACGACCCCUGCAGCAUGGAUCCACGACCUUCCUAAGAGUAAAUUACAGGAGGUAUCCAUGUACAACACCUGAAAUGUCACCUUGAAAUUCACAUGACAGAUAGUCAAUAUCAAAUCAAUCUCCUUAUUGUGCCUAUCUUGAUGCCAUUGAAAGGACAAACUAACAUUGUUAGGCCUAAUUCUCUCAGUCCCAAUCUCCAUUCUUUGCAAAGUUGAGAGAGGGCAUAGAUCGACCCCUAAUCCGCAUUCCACCAUGACUCUUUUAAUAUAGUACCCUUCACACUUAACUGUCAGAUGAAGAGCUUUGUUGUGGGAAUCCCCUUCUAGGGGUAAGUCAUUUUUACUAAAUGAAAUCCGGUUGACUUCAAAGAAUUAUUUCGCCAUCCUUUCAGUUGCUCGACAGUGGUUUCAAUCAGAACAUAUGCUUCAUUCAGGGUAUUUGUCAAAUCUUUCUGAUGUUCAGUCGAGCUUAUCAACAGAGAUAAGAGCCAGACCUGAGAGGGGGAUUUCUGGAGUUAUUCAAUUACCUCACAGUCCGCAGUUUCCAUUUUUCAAAAGAAUUCCUCUACUUCUUCGGCACUGACUAGAUUAUUAAGCGGAAAAUGCUUCUGCUUAGCAUUGUUCACUUCUUCCAGAUUGAGGUACUUACCAGAUGGAUUAGUUUUAUUUACUUUCCCCAUGAUUUCUUUUCCCUUUUAUGUCACUUGUAAUUCCAAGGGGCUGUAGUGGGGUCUUUUAUGGGCCUUUGUAGUGCGCGGCUAAUGAUCAUGGGCUCAUUCAGCCGGGGUGGAAUUAUUGGUCCCCGCGCCAUGUAAGUCCGCUUGGAUACAUACAUCUUAGUACCCUCGUUCAGCUUGAACCUUUUAGGAGGACUCAAUGCCAAUUAUUCUUUCAUGUGAGCCCGAGGAACAUAAAGAAUAGCGUCUUCAGGGGGUAUUGCCCCUGCAUUGGUUUCCACCGUCUUUUAUACACUUUAAGGGGCGUAGUUACUCUUUUUCUUUCCAUUUUCUUGCUUUGCGCCCGCCCUUGGCUUCUUUUCAAUAUCAGCAAUAGCAAUGUUGGCUUUCAGAGCUGGGUCCAACUCUCUAUCUUAACAAAUCAUCUCAAUAACCUGUUAUUGUGAGCGGAAAUGGGUUAUUGGUCACAUUGGGGAUCUCUUCACCUUUCAGCACUACCCUCUUUUGCUCUAUUAAGUUUUCAAUUGCCCUUUUGAGAGUCCGACAGUCUUCAGUGUCAUGCCAUUCUACUCUUGAAUAGUAAGCACAUCAAGCACCGUGUCGGUAGGAGGGCGACUCCGGGUUUUUCCUGGGUACGGGUUGCAAUGAACCCAUUUGGACCAGUUUAGGAAACGGCUAGAGUGUGAUUCACAAAUAGGUGUGAAGCUUGUUCUUCUUUGUGGCUCCCGCGCACAAGUAUUGUAUGGAAAACUACUUUGUGGAGGAUAUGGAUUAUAUAGAGCUUAGUAAGGUGGGUUAUUUCUAGGAAGUAGAGCUCGAUUUUGGUUAAAGUGUUUCUUUCGCCGAGCGUAUGGUUGGGAAUUCAUCACUGCAUAAGGCUAAGGAGUCAUAUCAUAAGCCAUAUCCUGGUGAGACUUGAAGCCACCAUUGUCACUUCUUUUUUCUUCUUUCUAUUUGCUACAUCUCCUGACUCGCUCUGAAUUGCUUGGGACUUAGCUCUUAUAGCAGAUUGGCUCAAUAUACGACCUGUUUUCAGACCAUUCUCGACCAUCUCCCCAAUUUUGAUAGCCUGAGCAAACGGCUUUCCUAUUGCAGACAUCAUAUUCUGGAAGUAGUCAGCCUCUUGGGCUUGUAGAAAAAAACUGACCAUCUCGGUCUCAUCCAUCGGGGGCUUCACCCUAGCUCCUUGUUCAGGCCACUUAACAGCAUAUUCUGGUAACCUUUCCGAGGACUUCUUUUUAAUAUUUGAUAGGGAAUUCCUGUCUGGAGCUAUGUCUAUGUUGUAUUGGAAUUGCCUGACGUAAUCUCGAGCCAAAUCAUCCCAUAUGUACCAGUGAGAUAUGUCUUGAUCUAUAUACCACUCGGAUGCAUUGCCAACUAGAAAUUCUCUAAAAUAAGCCAUUAGGGGCUCUUCUUUUCCACCUGCCCCUCUCAAUUGAUUGCAAUACCUCUUGAGUGGGCUAUGGGAUACCCAUGCCCGUCAUACUUUUCGAACUUGGGGGGUCUUGAAACCGAUGGGCAAAUGAACAUGCAGGACAUACAUAGAUCAACGUAGGAUACACUCUUUUGGACACUUAAACCUUGUAUAUUCUUAAGGCUUUGUUCAAUGCUUCCCAUUUUCCAAGUAAUUUCCUAUGGCUCGGGAUUCUUCGUAGCUUUCUCUAGUACCGCGGUAAACUUGUACCGAGGUUGUUGAGGAUAAGAAUUGGUGGUAAAAUAGGCAGGGUUUGGUGAAAAUGAUGGUACUUAGAAAGCAAAGGAUGAAGGAUCAAAGCUUGGCAUGGACAAAGUUGGUUGUGUCGUAGCCGAGGUUAGUGGUGAGUUGAAUAUAUUAGAGGCCACUCCAAAAAUCACCUGGGGCGAACCUCAGAAGGUGUUUCGGUGAAGUGAGCUGAGAUGUUCGGGUAGCUUAUUGGGAUGUUGGAAGUUCCACUUGCUCUGGGAAGUAGCUCGGGGACACCAGGUAUGACACUUGGCAGCUCUCUACCAUUGGACCAAUUGUCCCGCAUUUCCAAUAUGCGGAGGAGCAGUGCCCAAUUCUCUUCAGCAGCCGAUGACUCUGAUGUUUUGAUAGGCGAUAUUGGGCUAUCCUAUGGGAUGGUAAUCGUUUGUGGAUGACCCUCUUAUGAUAUUUCGACACUUCCCUUGGAUCUUGUAAAGUAAGGCUGCGAAGCCUGGUUACCACAAAACCAACCACCUUAAGACAGAACCUAUUCACAAUAUCAGACACAACAAACUAGUUAGCUUGAGGCAAUUAGCACAUAGGAAUCGCAGGGGAUGUGAUGCACCUAUGUAGAUAAAUGUGUUUCUACAUAUUUCGCUACGGUUGUGUAUCUCAUCACAUAGUUCAAGGAAUAAAUGCAUCAAAUAAAUAAACACAAUUUUUUUCUUCAAAUUUCAUUUAAUAAUAAAGACUCCUAAUUUUCUAUUACAAUGACUCCAUCAUACUUUCUAGGAAUUGAAAAAUUAAAAAUAGACUCGAAACAUACUUUAAAACUGGAAGCUGAAAUACAGACUCGAAACAAAAAUCAAGAAUACAUAAGUACUUCUAAAACUGCUCCAGGGGCCUGUAGGACAUUAGUCGUUCUCGCCACGGGCCUACGUGUAAGCUCUCCUUGGAGGCGAUCCAAGUCAUCCAUUAUUUGGCAGACAAAGGUUAUCACUGCGGCGAAAAAGGUGGACCUAGUGAUGUCCUCACAUUCAUGGCAUUUCAUGACGAUGUAGUCGGCAAUUUCUCUAACCAUUUCCAUGAUUAUGCCUUUCGCUUGGAGUAAAUGCCCAAUUUGUUCAGACCUUGCUUCCAGAACUUGGGUAUUGUGAUGGGCUUGACCCUGCAACUGUUGCAUAUCCUCUUCUAGCCAAGCCAUCAGUGCAUAACAAUGUUCCUUCUCUACUUUAAAGUUCUUUGCCUGUUUAGCCAUUUCAUUCUCGAGGGUGGUUUGCUUUUUUUUCUUUGUUGGUAGAAAUCCACUGAUUGUCCAGUUCAUUAGGGAGUGUUUUUUGGAGUNNNNNNNNNNNNNNNNNNNNNNNNNNNNNNNNNNNNNNNNNNNNNNNNNNNNNNNNNNNNNNNNNNNNNNNNNNNNNNNNNNNNNNNNNNNNNNNNNNNNNNNNNNNNNNNNNNNNNNNNNNNNNNNNNNNNNNNNNNNNNNNNNNNNNNNNNNNNNNNNNNNNNNNNNNNNNNNNNNNNNNNNNNNNNNNNNNNNNNNNNNNNNNNNNNNNNNNNNNNNNNNNNNNNNNNNNNNNNNNNNNNNNNNNNNNNNNNNNNNNNNNNNNNNNNNNNNNNNNNNNNNNNNNNNNNNNNNNNNNNNNNNNNNNNNNNNNNNNNNNNNNNNNNNNNNNNNNNNNNNNNNNNNNNNNNNNNNNNNNNNNNNNNNNNNNNNNNNNNNNNNNNNNNNNNNNNNNNNNNNNNNNNNNNNNNNNNNNNNNNNNNNNNNNNNNNNNNNNNNNNNNNNNNNNNNNNNNNNNNNNNNNNNNNNNNNNNNNNNNNNNNNNNNNNNNNNNNNNNNNNNNNNNNNNNNNNNNNNNNNNNNNNNNNNNNNNNNNNNNNNNNNNNNNNNNNNNNNNNNNNNNNNNNNNNNNNNNNNNNNNNNNNNNNNNNNNNNNNNNNNNNNNNNNNNNNNNNNNNNNNNNNNNNNNNNNNNNNNNNNNNNNNNNNNNNNNNNNNNNNNNNNNNNNNNNNNNNUUCUUCAUUAUCUCAGUUGAAGUACUGAGCCUCCCGAUACCGGGAGGCUCAGUACUUCAACUAGUCUCCAUGUUCCUCGAAUGGAUCUCUUAGUUGUUAAGAAGAGUUAUCACACAAUCGCUUGAAAAAAUAUUUUUUUUGUCCAACUAGUAGUAAUUUCUAUUAGGUUCCACAUUUUAUCUUUCUACAACCCAUUCUGGCAUAUUGAACUCUUAGACCCUUGUAUAAAACUCCUCUAUGCAUUUUUCCCCAUCGACCCAUAGUUCAUGUACUGAGGAUGAUGGCAUAGAUGCUCAAUCAUUUACAUUUGUAGCAACAAGUUGCACCCUUCGAAAAAUUCUACUAUGACUUUGCAGUCUGUGAGAGCUCGGAAUAUUUCAGACACAUCAUCGGAGCGAAGGUGCUUUUGGCAUUAGUAAGCAAAGUGUUGAUGACCCCGACUAUACGUAUAUCGAUAUUCCUGUCCUUCCUGGGAAACACUAGAAGACCCAAAAAUACCACCAUGAAAGCGAACCAUCUAUGCUGUUCACGUUUUAGCCGAUUCCCAUUGCUACAAAUUAUGCUCUCCGGUUUUCAAAUCCCCUUAUGUUUUUGUAAUACUAAUAAAUGAACUGUGGAGUAGAAAACCAAACCGCCAAAUCUGCAUAUUGGACCACCCUGCUUAUUUUCAGUAAAUCCAGAAACUUAUGAGGGGUGACAACCCUUGGGGCGACCAGGUAUUUAUAUCUUAAAGCUUCAGUACUCCCAACAUAACCGGCUAUCUCUUCAAAAGUGGGUGUGAGUUCAAAGUUCGAGAAAUGAAACACGUCGUAAGCUUGAUCCCAAAAUGUAACCAGUGCUUUUAUUAUGUCUCCUCUAGGCCUGAUCUUCAAUAACCUAGUGAGACCCUCCAAGUGAUGGUUGACCACAUCUCAUCCUGAUUUAGCUAGACCUUCCCACCACAUGUACAGUUCCAAAAGAAUCUUGGUCAUGACCUUCAUUGGCAAGUUUUGAUUUGUGCUCAUUCUACACAUUUAAAUUAAGGUGAUUGGUUUAAAAUAAAGUAAAUUUUAUAAAAGAGGUCAAUUUUGCAAAAAAUUAAAGGACACAACUACUUUUGCAAAUAAGUCCCUUCAGCACUUCGAAAAGGAGGACAUUAGUGUUGUGCUUGCUAGGUAGCAAAAAAUUGACAAAGAAACCUGUGGUGGCUAUUCUUACAAAAAAAACUUCCGACGCCCCUUCGGAGCGUUUGGCUUAUAUAGUAAAAAACGGCGUUACCCAAAUUAUUUGACAACAAAUGAAGAUAUCUUCAAAUUUUGGGUUAUUUUUGCAAAAGUAGGGCUGGACUCGAUGAGGGUUGCCUACGUAUCCCGUAUCCAGUGAGAAUCAAACCCGCAUAGUUCGGUCAGUUUUGAAAUAAUGAAAUGUUUUAAAACCAUUUUCCUUUCCCUUUUCCUGUUCUCUCUUUUUCUUUCAAAAUUUCGGCACAGUUUCAACAUAUUUUGGACAACAGGUUUUUCAAAGGCGGGUAAUUAUCUCUCUCAUACAUCAAUUUUAUUUUUUCCAAUUUCCUCCCUAUUCUAGCAACUGGUUAACAUGCAAAGUGAAGUAAAUAAUUGUACAAGUAGCACGUAAAAUGCAUCAGGAUGGUCUUUUGAUUCUGGGGUCCACCUGUCCUAGACGAACGCAACCCCUAUGUUGAGUCUCCAAAGUCAAAUGCACAUGAUGCAAACAAAUGUUCCUACUAGGGAUCCGACAUGAGGCUGAGUUAUUCUAAGUUUAAAACCUGGGUAUAUUUUUUUAGACAUGGUGUACCCGAGUGGACACUCGGGCCGAGAGGUCUACGUAUCGGGAACAAAAAGGCCAUCCGGAUAUGUAACUUGUCAGAUCAUCUUUCUAACCUAAGGUAUUGCACUAAUAGAAAGAGGAGUCACACCAGUGUGCAUAUCCUCGAAGAUGAGAAGAGAGGGGUUUCGUAACAAUUUUAUAUAAAAUCUAAAUAAUAUCAAAGUGAUAAAAAGCGACAUUUAGCACAUUAGGCCCAAACAUGUGAUAGAAAUCAGAUAAUAAAUAAAAGCCAAAUAUAACAGUUAUUCUAAGCUCGAAUUCUUGAAUUCUGAACCGAAGUUCCGGGUUUUGCUCCCCAACGGAGUCGUCAGAGCUGUCACAUCUCCUUUUUACACACCCCAGGAAGGGGGUAUACAAGGGAGUUUUUCUAAUAAAAGUGACAUUAUUCAAAAUGAGAUUAUUUUAUUUAUUUUCGGAGUUGCCACUUGGAAUAAUUAAUUUGGUGUCUCAAGUCACAUUUUUCUUUUUAAUCCCAAAUCGAGGAAAAUUUUUACUUUAUAAGUCUGCGAACCAGAAAUUCUAAGUAAGGAAUUAUGCUAACACGGGAGAAGGUGUUAGGUAUUUCCGAGUUUCAAAGUUCUAGAACGGUCUUUUUAACUAUUAAUAAUUGGCCUAUUAUCUGAUAUACUAUACGUAUUAAAACUAUGUGCAUUUUUACAACUUUUAAACCGCUUUUACUUUUUAAGAAAAUUAAAUGCUAUUUAAGACACGUCUUAAACCACGCUACAUGAAAUGCAUCCGUAGUUUGCGACAUAUUUUAUUUAACAUUGUUAAAAAUUAAAGUUGAGUCAAAUGAAAUGUACACCCGGAUUUUAGCAAUUACAAAUCAUAACUAAGUCACGGGAACCAUACCUGCAAUCAUGAUAAUUUAAAGUAACAUGCCUAAAGCAACUAUGAAGAUUCAUUUUUUAAUUACAACAUUUGUGAGGGCCAUGAAUGAUUUAAUUUAUAGAUGGCGUGCCUCAAACCUUUUCUACAUGUAUUAGCUCUUGACCUAAUUUUAUGAGGGCCACGAAUUAUAGUUUUUGUUCGAUAUGUCACACCUUAACUUAUUGCCUUUAUUAGAGGAAAAUUAUACUUAUUUGGAAUAUCUAAAUUUAAAUUAGUUCUUCUAGAAAAGGAUUUAGGCCUAGGCGUUCCUUACUGGGUUAAAUCUAAAAAGUGAGUUCAGCUUUAAAAGGACUGUAUUUGGGCCAAAGUUUGGCCCCGCAGAGAAGGAUGCAAGGACUCUUGUCCUUGUUGGAAUUUUAAAAGUGUCUGCCCAUAUUGAGCAUCAGGCAGACUCAGUUGUGAAUAUCUACCGAUUGGGCAUAUCUACCUCUACAUUUCAACCCAACCUUACACUAAGCAUAUUUAUUGGCAUCACUUUUAAAAACAAGACAAUCAGAAUUGGAACAAUAUAAUUUUGAGUCUAAAAUCAAACGUAUUAACAUGUUUAGUAAGACAUACAUUUAUGUUGUAAAUUACAAUAGAAGAUUUUUAGAACUAAGGAUCAAAUUACCGGGUUUAAUGUCCAGGCCUACAUGCAUGGGCCUAGACCUGUUUAGGUGGUUCCUAGAUUUGGGACAUGUUGCAAGUCUAGCCCAAUUCACAUGUUGGACUGUACUAAAAAAAACAUAUGCUAUAGACUUAUAACUAAGAAUCAAAAAUAGUUAAAUCUUGAAUUUAAAACACUCUAAUAGUCUAUUUACUUAACAAAAGUCCAUAAAUUUACAAAGCAUUUCUAAAUAAAUCAAAUAUGUCUAAAGGAAAGGGAGAGACCUAAUUAGGUGGUUCCUAGAUUUGGGACAUGUUGCAAGUCUAGCCCAAUUCACUUGUUGGACUGUACUAAAAAAACCAUAUGCUAUAGACUUAAAACUAAGAAUCGAAAAUAGUUAAAUCUUGAAUUUAAAACACUCUAAUAGUUUAUUUACUUAACAAAAGUCCAUAAAUUUACAAAGCAUUUCUAAAUACAUCAAAUAUGUCUAAAGGAAUGGGAAAGGAUAGUUAAAGUAAGGGUGGAAUUCUUACUAACUCUAACUCUUCCAAAAUACUUUGAAUUAGUUUAAGUUUUGCAAGAAAAAUCAACUAUGGAGCUGUACCUUACAAGCUAAAACUUAGCUCCCAACUCUGAGGCUUCCUACUACGAAACCAACCUUGGUCAAUUCAUACUUUCAUGAAUCUGACCAUGUUUAAAGGUUAGGUUCACGGAAAUGCUUUCAGAUACAUAAACCUACUAUAUUAUCAAACCAAACUCAAACAAAUAAUGUAAACACAAAAGAAACAAAAUAGUGUGAUUCAUGGGUUUGACCAUAUUAAGAAUUAAACUCAUGAACCAACAAGGGCUUCAAACUCUAAAACAUGAUAUGCUUCCAGAAUGAACCAAAGAGAAGGAGAAUAGUUUAAUCCAUGAUUCUGACCAUGUAAAGGCUCAACGAAUAAAUCAAGUUUCAAAUAUGGGGAUCUAACAUGCUACAUGACCAAUGCAACAAAAGAGAUGUAUAUAUCAACUAAAGUAAACAAACAACCAAUGCUAGACUCAUGCAAGGAAACAAAAAUUGAUGAUAUAAACCAAAGAGAUAAAGGAUCACUCAUUUAAUAAAAAGGAAAAUUUUCAAUAUGGUUGCAACUUCAGUGAUAAAUCAUAGCAAGAAAAUACGGAUAUGCACCAUUAGCAAGAAAGAACAACUUGGAUUUAUCUUUAAACUUCAUUUACAAACAUUCAAGCAUGGAAGAAAAUAUGACCUUGAACGAUAAAUAUAAGAUGAAAGAAAACUGCUGAAACUUCAGAAGUAAGGAAACAGCAGCUAGUAAACUAAUAUAGCUACAAUAAAUCAAAUAGGUCCCAAAAUUUGAACCAAAUCCAAUCAGCUUUUAAACCAGAAUACCAGACAAAAAACCAAAGAAAAUCCUCUAUUUCAAUCCAUUUUUAGCUUGUGAAAAUUAAAAGGAAGAAGUUUUGAAAUUUUCUAAGAUUUCUGAAAUCUAGUUUUUUUCAGAAAGAAAAGAGAACUUUUUUUUGCAGUAAAAAUAAUGUUGAACAUUACUCUAUGAAUGAAGGGAAUGUUUCCCUUUUAUAGAAUGUCCAAAAGGCAUCAAAAGAAGAAUAUUCUAACCGAAAAUUUCUAAAACUAAGGAUAGUACAAUAUCUUUCAUAGUUGUCCGUCCUUUUUCUUAUCCAUAACCAGUAUUUUUGCUAAGAUAGGGAAAAAACCUUCUGAUUUUAGCUUAUGUAAAAGUCUAUUUUAAUCCUUUUAAUUACUGUCUAUUUCAACUUUGUCCUACGUUCUUUUAUUUUAAUUAAUUACAAACAUUCAACAAAGUAACUACCUAAUGAUAUUGCAAUUCAUUAACCUAAAGUUUAAAUGGUUGUUCUGAGGCUCAAACCUAAGCCUAACACCAAUAAAACUUAAGUAAUGAAAAUAUAUAGGCAAUCAAACUCAAAUUCACAAAGUUACCGGUAUCUAGCAUGCUCAGGCCAAGGAAAUCCAUAAUCAAAGUUAAGUUACAUUCAAAAUAAUAAAAAAAGAGAAUGAAUUCAGCUAAAGCAAAAGUAAGCACGAAUUGGCUAAAAUAGGCUAUUGAUUAACCUUUUCACAGAACUUGCAAAAACAACCAAACUAAACAAAAUAAAAGCAAGAAUUAAAAAUAAAGGGAGAAACAUGAAUAGGCAAAUUAUAAGAAAACAAAAACCUAAUCAUUUUAAUCUAACAUUCUGGACCCAUGCAACAUUGAAAUCCUAGAACAUACAAUUAAAUAAGCUAAUAGACAGAACAGAAGACCUAAAUUAUGUGGCUAAAUCAAGCAAUUAACAGAAAAAGGGGGAAAUAACAAAAAACCAAGAGGAAAUUGAAGAAUAAUAAUAAAAUGUUGUAAGAAGUUACCUACUGCUUAAUUCUUUCCAAGAUGAACACUGAACCAACUUCAAAUUCUGACCCCAAAUUUCGGGGUACAAAUAAACUUUAGACAACCAUCAAUCUACUGCUCUUACUAAGAGCAGUGAACUCAUGGAAGUCUUGGGUUCAAAACCCCAAAAACUGCCGGAAUUUUGGAAGUAAAAGACAAAUUACGGUUUCGAAAUCUUAGAUUUAAAAUUUGACGAGGUUGGGGCUGAUUCGAAGGUUGCUAUGGUGGUUUAGAGUUCAGAGGGGUGUCGGGGUCAUGGGGUGUGAAUUUAGAUCAUUUGGAACACUUAGGGUUUUGAGGCAUCGAUCUUAUAUUUAAGAUUCGAACUUUUUGGAAACGAUUCGAGGAAAAUGGAUUAGAGAUGUGGAAAGAGGAGGUGACGAAGGUUCUGGGGUGCUAAAUUGGGGAGGUUCGGAGGUGGUCCGCCGCCGUGAGCCGAUUUUCGGCCGGCAAACCAUGGUGGAGUAAAUGAGGGCGGCUAAGGUUUCAGUUGGGUUUGGGCAUUAGAGACGAAUAAAGGGAAUGGAAUUGGGGGGGUAGGAGUUUCGGACAGUUAAAUAAUAAGUAAGAGAUUAGUUCCGAGCCGUUAGAUUACCAAGAUCCAACGGCUAUGAUAAAC